UUUGGCAGGCUCUCGUGCGG
rnacentral:misc_RNA from 1 species